rnacentral:tRNA from 2 species
GACGAUGUUGGCCGGUUCGGCACUGACCUCGACGCUCGGGGUGCCGGCAAAGGCCUGUUCAACUUCGGCCGUCGUCA